rnacentral:rRNA from 1 species
GUGGCGGACGGGUGAGUAACGCGUGAAAAUCUGCCUCCAGGUCUGGGACAACAGAAGGAAACUUCGGUUAUUCCCGGAUGAGCCCUUGGGUAAAAGAUAAAUUGCCUGGAAAUAAGCUCCCGUCUGAUUAGCUAGUUGGUGUGAUAAAAGCAUACCAAGGCAACAAUCAGUAGCUGGUCUGAGAGGAUGAGCAGCCACACUGGGACUGAGACACGGCCCACACUCCUACGGGAGGCAGCAGUGGGGAAUUUUCCGCAAUGGGCGAAAGCCUGACAGAGCACGACCGCGUGGGGGAGGAAAGCUCUAGGGAUGCACCCCCCUUUUCUUUGGGAAAAAGUACUGACGGUACCAAAAGAAUCAGCCUCGGCUAACUCCGUGCCCGCCGCCGCGGUAAUACAAGAGGAGGCAAGUGUUCCUCCAGAAUGAUUGGGCGUAAAGCGUCCGCAGGUGGACAUGUUUUUCUGCUGUCAAAACCCGGGGCUUAACUCUGG